rnacentral:lncRNA from 1 species
AUCCCCAAAUAUUACUUUUUGCUUUAUAGCAAUGUAGUUACCCAACAUACUUUUUGCUUUUUUACUUUUACUUAAUAGCAAAAAUCAAAAAAAUAAAAAGUACUUUUUAAAAAUCAAAAAUCAAAAAGUAUAAUCAAAUGCACCCUUAAUAAAUUGAAAAAUUGUUUAAUAAAGUGGGAUCUCCUAUAAGGUAAUUUAGUCCUUUCACACAUGCCAUUAUUGAUGUUAG